UCUUUUUGUAUAUAUGUCUCUCUCUCUCUACCUCUCUCUCUUCUCCUGCUGUCUCCUUUCUCUCCAUCGACAUCUCACACAAACACACGAGCACCACCAGAGACAACCACCAGAGACAACCACCAGCCACUGCCAAUUGAUUGAUUCCGAGCUUGGCAUUUGAUUCGUUUCAUUUCAACUUUACGAUCUCAACCAGCAAGGAUUCAUAGAGAGACAGGAGCUAAUGAGGCAUCAUCGGUAGCAGCUUCGCCAAGAUUCUUCUUCUCUCCAACACCCCCAGUGGCCCUUGGAAAGUCUACGGCGUCUCUCACUGCCCUCGUCCGCCGUGGAACACCGACCACCCCCAUCGAAUACAUCCAGUGCGAUAUCUCUGUUUUAAUCUGUUUAAAAGAAUUACAAAUGGCUUAACAAUCCCCUAGCAUUGUUGGACUGUCAAAAUUUUAACUUAGAGCAAUUAUUGUAUGUUAUUAGUCCUGAGGUUAUAGUGGGCGGCUUAGCUCAUGCUUUGGACCUUAAUAUCCGCAAAGACAUCCAACCUCUUCUGAAAGUGGAGCAUCCAAAGAGGAUUAUUAAAAUUGAUGUCAAAUCUAUAAAUUCUGAGAGAUAUGAAUGGCUGGGACUCGGACACUACUAUACUCGUGAAACUUAUGGUCUCUUAUCCCUAGACACACACAAUAGAGAGAGGAAGUAGAAAGUAGUGACUGUUUUGGAAAUUUGAAGGUUCCAAGGGAUAUUUUUAUCUUAAAAAAUGAUUUACUCUUCA